AUUGAACGCUGGCGGCAGGCCUAACACAUGCAAGUCGAACGAGUGGCGGACGGGUGAGUAAUGUCUGGGAAACUGCCCGAUGGAGGGGGAUAACUACUGGAAACGGUAGCUAAUACCGCAUACCAUCGGAUGUGCCCAGAUGGGAUUAGCGGGUAGGUGAGGUAACGGCUCACCUAGGCGACGAUCCCUAGCUGGUCUGAGAGGAUGACCAGCCACACUGGGACGGAGACACUGUCCAGACGCCUGCGGGAGGCAGCAGGGGUGAGUAUUGCACAAUGGGCGCAAGCCUGAUGCAGCCCUGCCGCGUGUAUGAAGAAGGCCUUCGGGUUUUAAAGUACUGGCAGUGGGGAGGCGGUACCCGCAGAAGAAGCCCCGGCUAACUCCGUGCCAGCAGCCGCGGUAAUAC
rnacentral:rRNA from 1 species